GGGAGGCUGGGCGGCACCGGAACCAAACACACGCGGCGUAUCAACGGGGAAGGAGUAGCGGCAGUCGAGUGUUGGUGGUUCAUAUGUGCGUUGUUGGUGUCGCGAUGGACGGAAGUGAUCGCGGCUAUUGUCGUCAUCCGGCAUCACCUGCCGUCCAGCUUGCUUCGCGGAGGAGACAAAGCACACGCCGCAGGGAGAGGCAAGGCUGAUCCGUAGUGACUGCCUCUCGCGGUGAUAGGAGCUGACCAUUGCAGCAGAAAGAGAAAGAAAGGACUGGUGCUCGCGGUGCUGCGCUGCGAGGGAAGGAUCAACAGGGAACACGCAAGCAGCUCAGGGAAGAACUGAAAAGUGUUUCCUGGGAGCCUUGCUUACCUUCACAUUACCUCAGGGAAACACACACGUCAUUCCAGCCGCCCUUCCUCUUCCUCUUAGGCCAGGCUGAAAAAAGGAAUUGUGUUAGGCUUCCCUCUUUUCCAUUUACUCAGAGAAGAAAUACAACGGCGGGUGUUUUGUAUUUCCCUCUGCUUAACAUCCGCACCAAUACCGCAUGUUUUUUUUUUUAUCUUUAAUCUUAUAAAUAUUUUAAGAGAAACGAGCAAGAAAGAGAGACAAGAGACAAAAAAA